CCUACGGGCGGCAGCAGUGGGGAAUAUUGCACAAUGGGGGAAACCCUGAUGCAGCGACGCCGCGUGGGUGAAGAAGUAUUUCGGGAUGUAAAGCUCUAUCAGCAGGGAAGAGGAAAGACGGUACCCGAUUGAGUAACCCCGGCUAACUACGUUCCAGCAGCCGCGGGAAUACGGAGGGGGCAAGCGUUAUCCGGAUUUUCGUGGUGUAAAGGGAGGGUAGACGGCUGUGCAAGUCUGAAGGGAAAGCCCAGGGCUGAACCCUGGGACUGCAUUGGAAACUGUGGAGCUAGAGUUCUGGAGAGGUAAGUGGAAUUCCUAGUGUAGCGGUGAAAUGCGUAGAUAUUAGGAGGAACACCAGUGGCGAAGGCGGAUUACUGGACGGUAACUGACGUUGAGGCUCGAAAGCGUGGGGAGCAAACAGGAUUAGAUACCCCUGUAGUC
rnacentral:rRNA from 1 species